rnacentral:rRNA from 1 species
GAUGAACGCUGGCGGCGUGCCUAAUACAUGCAAGUCGAGCGAACGGACGAGAAGCUUGCUUCUCUGAUGUUAGCGGCGGACGGGUGAGUAACACGUGGAUAACCUACCUAUAAGACUGGGAUAACUUCGGGAAACCGGAGCUAAUACCGGAUAAUAUUUUGAACCGCAUGGUUCAAAAGUGAAAGACGGUCUUGCUGUCACUUAUAGAUGGAUCCGCGCUGCAUUAGCUAGUUGGUAAGGUAACGGCUUACCAAGGCAACGAUGCAUAGCCGACCUGAGAGGGUGAGCGGCCACACUGGAACUGAGACACGGUCCAGACUCCUACGGGAGGCAGCAGUAGGGAAUCUUCCGCAAUGGGCGAAAGCCUGACGGAGCAACGCCGCGGGAGUGAUGAAGGUCUUCGGAUCGUAAAACUCUGUUAUUAGGGAAGAACAUAUGUGUAAGUAACUGUGCACAUCUUGACGGUACCUAAUCAGAAAGCCACGGCUAACUACGUG